GUGCUUGCUUCGGCUGCACAUGUACUGACAUGGAACGGUGCAGAGAAGAUGAGCCUGGCCCGGGCAAGGACGACGUGCAAAUCCGAGAAGCGUUCCAUGUUUUA